AGGAAAGGAACUCACUUCCAUUGCCAAAUAUACAAGGAGAUGUGCGUCGUGUGUGCUCUUGCAACAAUUUAUUCACAUCUAGUUUGGAUGGUGAGGCGAUGGAUACAGUAUCUUGGACGCGAUAAAAUAGUGAAGUAAUGGUGUGGAACAAUAAUCACUAAUGGUGUGGAACAAUAAUAACCCAGCUUCAGCUUGAGGGGCAAACAACAUAAACAGGGUUUCACAAGAGCUGAUCUAUUGAAGUGUCUUGAAAUGAUAAAGGUUGAACAUGAACUUUCUCCGCAUAUGUCGAAUUUUGCUCGAAUAAGAAAUUGGAAACAGUGCAUUACAGGUAAAGAUUUUAUUAUGAAUCCACAAACUGAUGAUAGCAUUGAUGAUGGUGCAUUGAUGAUGGUUGGGCU